rnacentral:rRNA from 1 species
GACGAACGCUGGCGGCGCGCUUAAUACAUGCAAGUCGAGCGAGAACCGGCCCUUCGGGGCCGGGGACAGCGGCGAACGGGUGAGUAACACGUGGGUAAUCUGCCCUCGGCACCGGAAUAGCCCGGGGAAACCCGGAUUAAUGCCGGAUAGCCUCUCGAGCUCUCGGGCUCGUGAGAAAAGGUAGCUUCGGCCUCCGGCCGAGGCGGAGCCCGCGGCGGAUUAGCUUGUUGGUGGGGUAACGGCCCACCAAGGCGACGAUCCGUAGCUGGUCUGAGAGGACGAUCAGCCACACUGGGACUGAGACACGGCCCAGACUCCUACGGGAGGCAGCAGUAGGGAAUCUUGCGCAAUGGGCGAAAGCCUGACGCAGCGACGCCGCGUGCGGGAAGAAGGCCCUCGGGUUGUAAACCGCUUUCAGGAGGGACGAAGCCACUCGGGUGAAUAGCCCAGAGGGUGACGGUACCUCCAGAAGAAGCCCCGGCUAACUACGUGCCAGCAGCCGCCGUAAAAC